GUAGCACUUAUCCGCCAAGCUAUAUCUAGGAAUUUAAAGUCUCCGAUAACCACACAAUUCCCAGUAGUAUUUAUUCAAUUAAAACAUUGAAGAAGUCUU